CAAUAAUUUUCAUUAACUUGAAGCAUCAAGAAACAUAGUCGGAGAGAGAAAGUUAGAGAGAGAAAGUUCCGCCGCCUUGUCUGAAUCGACACCGUCAACCUGCUACUUCAUUCAAUAAGCUGCAGCUCCAUCCUCACCACCGAUGAUUCUCUCAGAAGCACCCUCUUCUCUCAUAUAAAUACACAUUAUAUAUAUACACAUUUAUACAUAUAUAAUACAUAAGCAGUGAGUUUUAGAGAGGGAUGAUGAACGUCAAGCAGAGGCGGCAGAAGCCAAGGCUCGACCGACGCAACGCAAUCAAGGACAUCGACUACGACGCGUCUGACUCACCGUCGUCAUCGUCGGUCGACGACGAGUCCACUCACCGGUCUCGGUCGCUCGAUUUGUCCGAUCGAACCAGCUUUCGAGUUGAAGGGAACGAUGGCGAGUUCGAUCGGAUUUGCCGCAGUUUAGGGCUUUCUGGAAUUGAAGACUUUGCAAUUCCUGCUGCGGCUUGGGAGGCUCGCAUAGAUCGCUCACCUUCCGAUCCCUUUCUGAAGUCUAGGUUUAACAAUCGUCGCAAUUUGGAUAAGUUGGAUAAGUUGGAGGACGAAGAAUCACCGGUGGAUUGUGUGUCAGAUGUAUUUGAAGUUAAGGUUAAGCUUCGUGAUGAGCUCAAGCAUGAAAAUGAGUCUUCUCGGUUUAAUAAUGGUCUAAUUUCAGAUAAGAUUGAAAAUAGGGUUAUGGAAAGCGAUGAAACUAAGGUUAUGAAUUUGGUUAGCGUUACGUGUAAUAGGGAAGGUGGACGUGGGAUUAAAGGUGCUCGUCCGCCACUACUUACUCCUCCGCCACUACUUGCUCCUCCGCCGGCGAUGGCACGGUCGAUAGCUCCUCCGCCGGCAAUGACACGGUCAAUAGUGGAUAACGUCAGCUCAACUUGGGAGAUAUUCAGGGCUUUUGGUCCUCAAGACGAUGAGGAUUUGGCUUCACCCGUGUCUGCAAGGGUCAUUAGCUCUUCGAAUCUGGUUGAAGAAAGCGAGCAUAUUAUUAGUAAAGAAAUGUCGAAUGGGGCACGGUUAAGAGAUACUGUUGUUCUAUCAGGGUCAUUUUCAGAAGAUACAUCAAAUGAUGAGAAUGAUGAUGAUUCCUUUAGUACAACUAUGGAAUCUCAAUCCAUGUACCUUCUUUCGCCAUGUGCAAGCUUUAGGCGGGGUAUAAAGUCUUGGCAGAAGGGAGACUUUCUGGGAAGUGGAUCAUUCGGAACAGUGUACGAAGGUUUCACUGAUGAUGGAUUCUUUUUUGCUGUGAAGGAGGUUUCUUUGCUUGAUCAAGGAAGUCAGGGCAAGCAAAGCAUUCUUCAGCUUGAACAAGAGAUUUCUCUCUUAAGUCAGUUUGAACAUGGAAACAUAGUUCAAUAUCUUGGUACAGACAAGGAUGAUAGCAAACUCUAUAUCUUCCUUGAGCUAGUAACCAAAGGUUCGCUUGCAAACCUCUAUCAAAAGUAUCAGCUGUGGGAUUCCCAAGUCUCUGUAUAUACAAGGCAGAUUUUGAAUGGUUUAAAUUACCUUCACAGCCGGAAUGUGGUUCACAGGGAUAUAAAAUGUGCUAAUAUAUUGGUGGAUGCAAGUGGAUCUGUGAAACUUGCGGAUUUUGGGUUGGCAAAGGCAACCAAAUUAAAUGAUGUAAAGUCAUGCAAAGGGACUGCUUUUUGGAUGGCCCCGGAGGUCGUUAACCGGAGGAACCGUGGCUAUGGGCUUGCAGCCGAUAUAUGGAGCCUUGGAUGCACUGUGUUAGAGAUGUUAACACGUCAAGUUCCAUACUCACACUUGGAAGGGAUGCAAGCAAUAUUUAGGAUUGGCAGGGGUGAAGCUCCUCCUAUUCCUGAUUCCUUAUCAAGAGAUGCCCAAGAUUUUAUCCUUAAAUGUUUACAAGUUAACCCAGAUAAUCGGCCUACUGCUGCUCAGCUAUUGAACCAUCCAUUUUUGAAGAGGCCAUCGAUAACUUCUUCUGUAGGCCCUGCAUCUCCUUACUAUAAUGGCAGAAUACCAUAAAUGAUUUGCUCCACUUUUGAUGACCAAAGAAAUUGAGCGUAUUCAUGUGAACACUCAGAAACUGGUUUUAAAUGAGAAGCCAAGCGCUGCGCUCGUCCAUAUUUACCCAUUGGACAAUUCUUAGCAUUGGAGAGCAAGUUGGUGUACACGCGUCUCCAAUAUAGACGGUUGUGUGUGAUUAUGCAAAAAUUGGAGUAUGUGGAUGAAGAGAUCCGUUCAAAUACUCUUGGGGAUUAUGUUCGCACAAUCCAAAUUUGUUCUUGCACUUCGACGUCACCUUCAAUUUUUUCCGAAAGGAAAUGACAUAACUAUCCUUCAAAAAAAUCAUGUUCUUGUUAUUUCAAAAAGUACUCGCCCUACAAUUUUGAGGAGCAAUUGUCAUUUGGUUUGUUUGGAAAAAUAUAUAUAUAUAGUUUGGGAGUAGUUAUUAGCACGCAAAUGAACAGCUAAAACAUUCAGAUAUCUCACCGGUUGAUAAAAUGAUAGAAAAAGGAGGGUAAGAGCAACUACAUGGAUUUAUGUUCAUUGCAAAGGC